CUAUACCCAAACUACUUGGAGUUGCAGGUAAGCGGCAAAUGAGUGCAUCCCCAUGAUCAUAGAUAAACUAUGUGAUUGGGGUGAGCAAACGUAGUCAACACCGCUGCAACUUCAAGUAGGAAGGG
rnacentral:antisense_RNA from 1 species